AUGGAGAAUCAAUUCAAAGUCAGUCCAUUAGGAUUGAUUACAAAGGUAAACAGUCACCAUUGUACUACAACCAAGGAAUUAUCCGAGCCUGUUUCUUACAGCUGCAAAUAUGAUGUUUCUGCAUUUCAGAUUCAAAACAUUCUGAACUUGCUUGAUACAGAAAAAAUAAUUGAUGCUGAAAAUGAGAAGAACCUUUACUGUUUUCUCUCUAUCAAGUAUCACAUAUUGAAAAUUAAAUCCUUUCCACGUGUCACCUUCCAUCCUUUGUUUUGUUUAACCAUGGCUAAAAAAUUAGGAAAAGUUGUCCCUUAA